rnacentral:rRNA from 1 species
UACGUAGGGGGCAAGCGUUGUCCGGAUUUAUUGGGCGUAAAGAGCGUGUAGGCGGCCAGGUAGGUCUGCUGUGAAAACUCGAGGCUCAACCUCGAGACGCCGAUGGAAACCAUCUGGCUAGAGUCCGGAAGAGGAGAGUGGAAUUCCCGGUGUAGCGGUGAAAUGCGCAGAUAUCGGGAAGAACACCCGUGGCUAAGGCGGCUCUCUAGUACGGUACUAACGCUGAGACGCGAAAGCGUGGGGAGCGAACAGG